AAUAUUGGACAAUGGGGGAAACCCUGAUCCAGCCAUCCCGCGUGUAUGAUGAAGGCCUUCGGGUUGUAAAGCUCUGUCUUCGCUGACGAUAAUGACGGUAAGCGAGGAGGAAGCCACGGCUAACUUCGUGCCAGCAGCCGCGGCAAUACGUAGGUGGCAAGCGUUAUCCGGAAUUAUUGGGCGUAAAGGGUGCGCAGGCGGCAAUUUAAGUCCGUGGUAAAAGACUGAAGCUCAACUUCAGGUGGCCAUGGAAACUGGGUUGCUAGAGUGCAGGAGAGGGUAGUGGAAUUCCAUGUGUAGCGGUAAAAUGCGUAGAUAUAUGGAGGAACACCAGUGGCGAAAGCGGCUACCUGGCCUGUAACUGACGCUCAUGCACGAAAGCGUGGGGAGCAAAUAGG
rnacentral:rRNA from 1 species